CGCUGGUCCCCUCGCAACGAUAAACCGUGAAUCUGGUCAGGUCCGGAAGGAAGCAGCCACAGCGGUGGACUCGUGUGCCGAGGUGAGGCUGGUGGAG
rfam:Marinomonas aquimarina strain CECT 5080 genome assembly, contig: 0003